AGAGCGAACGCUGGCGGCAGGCCUAAUACAUGCAAGUCGAACGCACCUUCGGGUGAGUGGCGGACGGGUGAGUAACACGUGGGAACGUGCCUUUGGUUCGGAAUAAUCCGGGGAAACCUGGCCUAAUACCGGAUGUGCCCUUCGGGGGAAAGAUUUAUCGCCAUUAGAGCGGCCCGCGUCUGAUUAGCUAGUUGGUGAGGUAACGGCCCACCAAGGCGACGACGGGUAGCC
rnacentral:rRNA from 1 species